UGUGUCCUAUAUUUUAUUAAUUUCUUUCUUCUUGCUUCAGAAGCUUAAAUGUUUCUCCUCUCUUUUAUUCAAAUACUCUCUCUCUCUCUCGCUCUCUCUCUCUCUCGGACUCAGCCUCGACAAAUCGUCAAAACCCUCGCAUCGAGCCCAGACCCAACAUCCGCUCCCCUCCACUUUGCAACCAUCGUUAAAGGAUGCCGUCUCAAGUGAGCAUACUUCUCUUUCCCUCUCUGUUACCUCUGUCUGACACUCUCUCUCUCUCUCUCUCUCUCUCUCUCUCUCUAUGUCGAGGGUUUUGGCGAUUUGGAUGAAAUAACAGAGGUGCUCCACUACUACGCACAGCUGCCUAAGAUGGCUCUACCGAGCCUCCAAACAUGCUGAAGAUGUGGCUACUUAUAUGUGAAUAUUGGUUGGUGCCCUGAAAGAAGCAUGGGGAAAAGUUGAUGGUAAAGAUUUCUGAAAUGCUCAACUUAGUUUGGUGGAACUAAGGAUGAUAGAGAGAUGCUGAAAGUGGUUUCAAUUUGCUUAAAGAAAUGUGACCCACACCUACUUACCCAGCAUUCCCUUGGAAGUUAAAGCUUACCCUCCACUAAUUCAAUACAUGGCAAAUGUUUAGAUGUUUUGGUUAGAAUUUGAUGGGAUGAAAUUUAGUUAUUUAUGUAAUAACGCUUGAUUGGAAAUGGGCAACUGGCUAAGUAUCUAGGUGGUUGUUGCCAUCAUAUGUAACAUGUUAUAAUAUAUAUAUAUAUAUAUAUAAAUUAAUGUAGAUGUGGAGUUUGACUUGGCUGAAUGAAAGAGCAAAACAUCUAAACAUGUGUAAGCAAUUUGUAGAUACUUUUUAAUGAUAGUUGGAUUUGUCUUGAUGAUUUUUA